AUUUAACUCUUUCUGCAGUCCUAACACAUGCAAGUCGAACGAGUGGCGGACGGGUGAGUAAUGUCUGGGAAACUGCCUGAUGGAGGGGGAUAACUACUGGAAACGGUAGCUACUCCCGCAUACCAUCGGAUGUGCCCAGAUGGGAUUAGCUAGUUGGUGGGGUAACGGCUCACCAAGGCGACGAUCCCUAGCUGGUCUGAGAGGAUGACAGGCCACACUGUAACUGAGACACGUUCCAGCCUCCUACGGGAGGCAGCAGUGGGGAAUAUUGCACAAUGGGCGCAAGCCUGAUGCAGCCAUGCCGCGUGUAUGAAGAAGGCCUUCGGGUUGUAAAGUACUUUCAGCGGGGAGGCGUUACCCGCAGAAGAAGCACCGGCUAACUCCGUGCCAGCAGCCGCGGUAAUAC
rnacentral:rRNA from 1 species